rnacentral:rRNA from 1 species
CGCUGGCGGCAGGCCUAACACAUGCAAGUCGAACGCCCCGCAAGGGGAGUGGCAGACGGGUGAGUAACGCGUGGGAACCUACCCUAAGGUGCGGAAUAGCCCAGGGAAACUUGGAGUAAUACCGCAUAAGCCCGCAAGGGGAAAGAUUUAUCGCCUUUGGAUGGGCCCGCGUCUGAUUAGCUAGUUGGUGAGGUAAUGGCUCACCAAGGCGACGAUCAGUAGCUGGUCUUAGAGGAUGAUCAGCCACACUGGGACUGAGACACGGCCCAGACUCCUACGGGAGGCAGCAGUGGGGAAUAUUGGACAAUGGGCGCAAGCCUGAUCCAGCCAUGCCGCGUGAGUGACGAAGGCCUUAGGGUUGUAAAGCUCUUUUGGCGGGGACGAUAAUGACGGUACCCGCAGAAUAAGCCCCGGCUAACUUCGUG